rnacentral:rRNA from 1 species
UGGGGUGCUCGAGUGGCGAACGGGUGAGUAACACGUGAGUAACCUGCCCUUGACUUUGGGAUAACUUCAGGAAACUGGGGCUAAUACCGGAUAGGAGCUCCUGCUGCAUGGUGGGGGUUGGAAAGUUUCGGCGGUUGGGGAUGGACUCGCGGCUUAUCAGCUUGUUGGUGGGGUAGUGGCUUACCAAGGCUUUGACGGGUAGCCGGCCUGAGAGGGUGACCGGCCACAGUGGGACUGAGAUACGGCCCAG